AGUAACGGAAAGUGAAAGGGGAGGAGCCUGAGAGUUUGGGAAUGUGAAUAAGUUUGGAAACAGCAGCGGAACAAACGGCUUUGAGCAACGGGACAGGCGUACGGGAAUGAGAAUAAGCAGGUGCCAAGUGGAACUGCUGAAUGAGAAGCCUGGGGAGGAGGGAGAAAAGCAGAGAAAUUGGGGCCAGAAACUGAUCCAGAAGCAGAACCGACCCAAACACAGAGACUGAGGAGCUGCACCUGAAAGGGAAGA